AUUGAACGCUGGCGGCAUGCCUUACACAUGCAAGUCGAACGGCAGCACGGGAGCAAUCCUGGUGGCGAGUGGCGAACGGGUGAGUAAUGUAUCGGAACGUGCCCAGUCGUGGGGGAUAACGUAGCGAAAGCUACGCUAAUACCGCAUACGAUCUAUGGAUGAAAGCGGGGGAUCGCAAGACCUCGCGCGAUUGGAGCGGCCGAUAUCAGAUUAGGUAGUUGGUGGGGUAAAGGCUCACCAAGCCGACGAUCUGUAGCUGGUCUGAGAGGACGACCAGCCACACUGGGACUGAGACACGGCCCAGACUCCUACGGGAGGCAGCAGUGGGGAAUUUUGGACAAUGGGCGCAAGCCUGAUCCAGCAAUGCCGCGUGCAGGAUGAAGGCCUUCGGGUUGUAAACUGCUUUUGUACGGAGCGAAAAGGCUCUCUCUAAUACAGGGGGCUCAUGACGGUACCGUAAGAAUAAGCACCGGCUAACUACGUGCCAGCCGCCGCCGUAACAC
rnacentral:rRNA from 1 species